rnacentral:rRNA from 1 species
GACGAACGCUGGCGGCGUGCUUAACACAUGCAAGUCGAACGAUGAAGCUAGAGCUUGCUCUGGUGAAUUAGUGGCGAACGGGUGAGUAACACGUGAGUAACCUGCCCCGAACUCUGGGAUAACUGCUGGAAACGGUAGCUAAUACUGGAUACGACCUACGAAGGCAUCUUCUGUAGGUGGAAAGAAUUUCGGUUCGGGAUGGACUCGCGGCCUAUCAGCUUGUUGGUGAGGUAAUGGCUCACCAAGGCGACGACGGGUAGCCGGCCUGAGAGGGUGAGCGGCCACACUGGGAAUGAGACACGGCCCAGACUCCUACGGGAGGCAGCAGUAGGGAAUCUUCCGCAAUGGACGAAAGUCUGACGGAGCAACGCCGCGUGAGUGAUGAAGGCUUUCGGGUCGUAAAACUCUGUUGUUAGGGAAGAACAAGUGCUAGUUGAAUAAGCUGGCACCGUGACGGUACCUAACCAGAAAGCCACGGCUAACUACGUGCCAGCAGCCGCAGUAA